AUGGAAGCACAGCACAUGGCACUGAAGCACUUAUCACCAUCCCACAAGUGCACUCCUUUCAUGCAGUCUCUCAUUCUUGCCUGCCCCAGGGAGAAUCUUCUGUAUUCUUCUGCCUCCACUACUGGGACCCGACGGUAUGAUCUGUAUAGUGAUAGGUGUAAGAUGCGAGGGCUGCUCUGAAAGUAAUGCCUCCUAUUUUAUGCUGUUGGCCCACAACAUCAGAGGCAGAUGUUGGUGGUACAGCAGUAGAGGCUGAACCUUCCCACCAAUAUCCCAGUCCAUUGUGUUGCUGUGUGGCAGAUGGCAGCAGAGGGGCAGUCUGACAAAAUGGUGUCUGACACAUUACGUAUGAAGCAAAGGCAUGGAAUUGAGUUUCUCCAUGUAAGAAAAGCACCCACUGACAUUCAUUGAUGCUUGCUGAACGUUUACGGAGAUGUACCAGUGGAUGUGAGCACAGCGAGGUGGUGGGUGGUGCAUUUCAGCAGUGGUGACAGUGGGUUGUGUCCAUUGGUGCAGCUUUUUAUGAGCACGACUUGUAGGCUCUUUGUCAUCGCUGGUGAAAAUAUGCAGCUACUGGUAGAGACUGUUGGAAACAGUUUUUUGUAGCUGAGAAUUUGCUUUAUCAAAUAGUGUUAUUGUGCUCUUUUUUGUAGUUCCUAUGGAAAUAAACAGGAGGCAUUACUUUCAGAGCCACAUACAUAUAAAAUAUUCUUUUCUCUAUGAACGUGAGACCUCUUUUACAGUUUUAGGGCAGCAGUUGUGCAAAAUACCUCCAUGAAGCCUUACUGGAGUAGUAGCUUCAUUAUUAAGAAGAACAAAAAAUCUGACACCAUCAGAUUUGGCAUAAAAGUUCUCUCAUUUCUCAUUUCAUCUCAUAAACACUAAAAUAAAGCACAUUUUAGGGCUGAACAACAAUCAGUUGAGUGCAAUUUGGGGAGAUUCCCACUGGGCUAAUUAAAGUAAUACUGCAAAUCAUUCAGUGGGCAGGAAGGAGAGGGACAGGUGACACCCUGGCUGUGAGAUGGGAAUCCCCAGAAUCUAACAAUAGAUUUGAAUGUAAGUUGUGGCCGCACAGCUGAAUGGGACAGUACUGAUCAGUGUAAUUGCAAAGUUACAAAAGAUAAUGUUCUAUUUAACCAUAAGAAAAAGGUGCAUUUAACCAUAAGAGAGAUGUGAAACUUGUAGCCAAGCGUGAGGCUCAGAAAUAACAGGACAGAAGUGUUUAAACAUCUUUCUAGGACGAAUUGCUCCUGAGAUCUUGAGUGUUGGCAAACACUGAGAACAGCAUUCAGAAGUGAAUAGAAUCUCAUUUGCUCAGCCCAGCUCAACUGCCUUAACCCAAACUUUAUUAAAAAAGAAAAAAUAACAAAUUCUUUCUUAUAUGUGAUUGACAUCAGAAAUUUACUACCAACUCCUCACCUCUAAGUGUGUAAUAAGGCUCCCCAGUGUUAUGGUGAUAUCAGUAGGAGACAGAUACACACUUUGUGGCUAUUAGCAGUGAAAGAUGCUUUCCAGAGCACUGUACAGACUUUACUCUCCAUACAAGUGCCUCAUGAAUUUUGGCUUUUUUCCUUAGAAAAUCCCCUUUUCUCUAUUAAUCAGCUUGCUCACAGCCUGAUUACUUUAGAGCAGGGACCACGCUCUUCAGAGAAGAGUGGGGUAGAUUGCUUGGAAUACUGGUUACAGGUCUAAGAUGCAGGUAUUC
ensembl:lncRNA